GGAUUAGAUACCCUAUUAUUUAUUGAUUAAAUUAUUUGAUGCUUUAUUAGUAUUAGUUAUGUUCUUGAAAUUUAAAGAAUUUGGCGGUAUUUCAUUCUUUUUAGAGGAAUCUGUCCCGUAAUUGAUAAUCCACAUUGUAACUUACUUGAUUUUAUUUAGUAUGUAUACCGUCGUUUAUUAAAAUCUUUUUAGAGAUAUUUUUUUAACUUAUUAAUUGUAAAGUUUUUCAGAUCAAGGUGCAGCUAUAUACAUGGUAUGUAUUGAUAAUCAAGUGGAGAUGGAUUACAAUAUUAUUGUUAUAUAUGAAUUAUUUUUGUAAAAUUGAUAUGAAGGUGGAUUUAAAUGUAAUUUUAUGAAGAUUGUUAAGGUGAUUAUAGUUUUGAAUUAUGUACAUAUCGCCCGUCGCUCUCGUUAUUAAUAUGAGAUAAGUC
rnacentral:rRNA from 1 species